GGGGACAAAACAACCACAAUUGCUGACAAUUCCUUUUAUUUUGCUUUAAAUGAUGAUUAAGUGUAGUAAUAGCUACCAUUUAUUAAGCCUCCUACCUCCUACCUUAUGGUAAGAUUUACAUAAAAGAGAAGAGCCAAUUAGCAACAUAAGAAGCAGUGGAUGGACCUGAAGAGGAGCGUGGGAGGAGUCAGUGCAGGUUCUGUGGUUGUGAGAAGGAUCUAGUAAUGCUCCAGGCAUGGAUCACAGAGGAGAAAGGAAAACUAAAGGAGUAAAAUCCCCCGGGUUAUCAGAAUUGACAGGAUCUAGAAAUGCAGCUGAAUUUAUUGCCUCUAACUCUUCCCUUUAUCAUAGGAAUAAAGGAGGAAAAGUAGGUGUUGGCACAGGAGUUGAGCAUGCAUUUGCCUGUGUUCAGAGGUGAACCUGCAAGGCAGCGGAUGGCAUCCAGAAGAACCAUGGCCGGACUUCCAUGAUCGAAAGUCACUGGGAACAGGGAGCUUAGGAAAUUGGUAAAAGCAUGGGAAUUGCUGUGCUUUGGACUCUUAGCAAAAUAGGAAGCACAGGGAAGAAAAGAGACUUGCACAGUGAGGAGAGGUCAAAGAACUGCACAUUCUCAUAAAUUUUUAAAAAAGAGAGAGAGAUAAAAAGAAAAUUACUUGUGGGAAUAAUUGGAAGAACUUUGUCUUCAUUUGCUUCCUGUUGCUAAUAGAACAAAGGUUUUUUGUGGCCCUCUGUUCUGGUCCAGUGUUGAGGGCUUGCAGUAGGUGAUGGCCCUCUUGCUGGCAGAGUUCCAAGGUAGCAUAGGGUGUCACAUGCCAAGAGAUGUGGAGCAUACCCGUGUGUGUAGCCCUGGUCUCUCUUGCUCUCAUGUGACCCCUGGGAUUCCAUCUGGGCCGUUCCAUCCCAAAGACUUCAUUUUAGCUUAAUCAUCUCCCAAAGGCUGUACCUCCAAGCACUAUAGCUAAAUUAAAUUUCCAUACCCUUAAUUACUCAUGAUAGAGAUUAAACUUCCACCUGAGUUUUUGGAGGG